rnacentral:lncRNA from 1 species
CCCUUUUUAUAUUUUCUUCUUGACUGAUCCCACCCAAUGAUCAUUGUCCUUUAGUUAGGAGGUUGAGAUUUCUCGUGGGGUAAUAGCCUGCAAGAGAAUUCUAAGAGAAGUUGUCAUUUUCCUCUCGUGAUUUGUUAAAGAUUCGACUCUUCUCCAUUGCUCAAAAUUCCUGAUAGAUACGAGCCUGCGAAAGCUACACCCUCCGGUUGGACGAACACUGUGUGGCCUAAAUGGGUUCUGAAAUUGGAUCUGAACCACUAGUUUUAAAGCAAUAGAACAGAUAUUCCUGCAAAUUGAAUUGACUAGAGUUUUCAAUUUAUAAUGUUUGUGCUUUUGUUUC